CACGGUUGAGUACUUGUACUUAAUGGGUGGCGAGUGGCGAACGGGUGAGUAAUGCGCAGGAAUAUGCCUUGAAGAGGGGGAUAACUUGGGGAAACUCAAGCUAAUACCGCAUACGCUCUACGGAGCAAAGCUGGGGACCUUCGGGCCUGGCACUUUGAGAAUAGCCUGCGUCCGAUUAGCUAGUUGGUAGGGUAAAGGCCUACCAAGGCGACGAUCGGUAGCUGGUCUGAGAGGAUGAACAGCCACACUGGGACUGAGACACGGCCCAGACUCC
rnacentral:rRNA from 1 species